rnacentral:lncRNA from 1 species
CAGGCUGAGGGUCCGCCUGGAAGAUGCCAAGGCGAUGGGCUUGUUGCCGUCCUGAGUUUGCAGGCCGAGGCUCACGCUGCUCUGCCAACACUCACAUACAGUAUCCGCGUAAGCCAAAGAAACCCCCCGAACUCGGGACAGGCAGCUCCCUGCUGUGGGCCACACACUGGCUCGGAAAGGACCAGUGACUCAGGGGCUUUCAUUAUUUCAGAUCAAAGGCUCAGUGUGGUCAGUGAAGGAGAAAGCCCCUGUGCGGGCACCUGCAGAGGCGCCCACCCUGCCCAGGGGCCUCUGGGGACGCAGCGACUCACUGACCAGUGAGCGCAGAUGGGCGACUGCACCUCUCUGCUUCAGCUCUUCAUGGCCAGAUGGGAGGACAAUCCCCACCUUGCAAGGUGGCAUCAAGGACUGAGAAAGAACCAGCACCAGGCCUGGCCCCAUGAGCGCUGCUGGGUCUGGAUCCAGGCGCCGUCCACCUUCCACCUGGCAGCACUAAUGCUUCCUCCCCGGCUGCACUGGCCCUUAUCUGGGGGUCAGGAACUCACGUGCUGAAUAAAGAGCAACUCUUUUCCAGA